rnacentral:rRNA from 1 species
AAUGAACGCUGGCGGCAGGCCUAAAACAUGCAAGUCGAACGCUCUAGCAAUAGAGAGUGGCGCACGGGUGAGUAACACGUGGGAAUAUGCCUUUUGGUACGGAACAACGUCUGGAAACGGACGCUAAUACCGUAUGGUCCCUCCGGGGUAAAGAUUUAUCGCCAAAAGAUUAGCCCGCGUCUGAUUAGCUAGUUGGUGAGGUAAUGGCUCACCAAGGCGACGAUCAGUAGCUGGUCUGAGAGGACGAUCAGCCACACUGGGACUGAGACACGGCCCAGACUCCUACGGGAGGCAGCAGUUAGGAAUAUUGGACAAUGGGCGCAAGCCUGAUCCAGCCAUGCCGCGUGAGUGAUGAAGGCCUUCGGGUUGUAAAGCUCUUUAGUCCACGAAUAUAAUGACUGUAGUGGAAGAAUAAGCCCCGGCUAACUUCGUG